rnacentral:rRNA from 1 species
AACGAACGCUGGCGGCAUGCCUAACACAUGCAAGUCGAACGAGACCUUCGGGUCUUGUGGCGCACGGGUGCGUAACGCGUGGGAACCUGCCCUUAGGGUCGGAAUAACUCCCCGACUGGGGUGCUAAUACCGGAUCAUGUCUUCGGACCAAAGAUUUAUCGCCUUAGGAUGGGCCCGCGUUGGAUUAGCUAGUUGGUAGGGUAAAAGCCUACCAAGGCGACGAUCCAUAGCUGGUCAGAGAGGCUGAUCAGCCACACUGGGACGGGGACACGGCCCAGACUCCUACGGGAGGCAGCAGUGGGGAAUAUAGGACAAUGGGCGAAAGCCUGAUGCAGCAAUGCCGCGUGAGUGCUGAAGGCCUUAGGGUUGUAAAGCUCUUUUACCCGGGAUGAUAAUGACAGUACCGGGAGAAUAAGCCCCGGCUAACUCCGUG